rnacentral:rRNA from 1 species
AUUGAACGCUGGCGGCAUGCUUUACACAUGCAAGUCGAACGGCAGCGCGGGCUUCGGCCUGGCGGCGAGUGGCGAACGGGUGAGUAAUACAUCGGAACGUGCCCAGUAGUGGGGGAUAGCUCGGCGAAAGCCGGAUUAAUACCGCAUACGACCUGAGGGUGAAAGCGGGGGAUCUUCGGACCUCGCGCUAUUGGACCGGCCGAUGGCAGAUUAGCUAGUUGGUGGGGUAAAGGCCUACCAAGGCGACGAUCUGUAGCUGGUCUGAGAGGACGACCAGCCACACUGGGACUGAGACACGGCCCAGACUCCUACGGGAGGCAGCAGUGGGGAAUUUUGGACAAUGGGCGAAAGCCUGAUCCAGCAAUGCCGCGUGUGUGAUGAAGGCCUUCGGGUUGUAAAGCACUUUUGGCGGGAACGAAAAGGACUGUGCCAAUACCACGGUUCGAUGACGGUACCCGCAGAAUAAGCACCGGCUAACUACGUG